GACGAACGCUUGCGACGUGCCUAAGAAAUGCAAGUCGAACGGGAGGAGCAAUCCUCUAGUGGCGAACGGUCGCGUAACACGUGGGCAACCUGCCCUGAAGCGGGGGACAACAGCUCGAAAGGGCUGCUAAUACCGCAUGUGAAGGGGGAUGGCAUCAUCCCUUGUUCAAAGCUUUAUGCGCUUCAGGAUGGGCCCGCGGCCUAUCAGCUAGUUGGUGGGGUAACGGCCUACCAAGGCUUCGACGGGUAGCUGGUCUGAGAGGACGAUCAGCCGGAUUGGGACUGAGAUACGGCCCAGACUCCUACGGGGGGCAGCAAUUAGGAAUCUUGCACAAUGGGCGAAAGCCUGAUGCAGCGACGUCGCGUGGAGGAUGAAAUCUUUCGGGAU
rnacentral:rRNA from 1 species